UACGUAGGUGGCAAGCGUUGUCCGGACUUACUGGGCGUAAAGAGCGCGCAGGCGGUCGACCAAGUCGCGUGUGAAAGCCCCCGGCUCAACUGGGGAGGGUCACGCGAUACUGAUCGACUCGAAGGCAGGAGAGGGUAGUGGAAUUCCGGGUGUAGCGGUGAAAUGCGUAGAUAUCCGGAGGAACACCGGUGGCGAAGGCGGCUUCCUGGACCGACACUGACGCUGAGGCGCGAAAGCUAGGGGAGCGAAUGGG
rnacentral:rRNA from 1 species